ACAGCUCCUCCUCUCCCGCGGCCGCAGCCCCCCGCCCCAGCCCGCAGCCGGCGGAGGAAGGGAAGCGGGGCUGGUCCCGACACCACCGCUCCCACCCGGAGUUUCCCCUCCGGUCUCGCUCGGGGCGGGGGCAGGCGGAGGGUCCCUGCCUGAGGGGGGAAGCCGGAGCAGGCGGUGGCUGAGGGGCUCGGGUGGCCCCAAGGAGGCGGCAGCCCGGGCAGGGGACCGGCCCUGGGCUGCAGCGGCACCGGCUGUGGCGGGAAGGGCGGUCUCGGUCGGGAAGUGUGGGGCGCCGGUGUGGGGGCCAGGGAGAGGCAGCCGAGGAGCCGCUCUCUGCUUGAGAAAGGCUGGAGUCACGAUUCGCCUCCUUUCAGCAUCCGGCGGGCUGAUGAGGUGUCUCAAACUAAACGCCAUCAGCUUCUCUCUUAGAAGCCUCACGGCGAAGUGGGGAAAAAGCUUCUGGCUUUGGGUAAUUUGUAUUCCGUACCUGGCCGCUCUUAAGAGAACAGCUAUCCUGCUUCUCCGGGUUUGCUCAGCCCUGGUGCUAAGGCAAGAACAUCUGUGAUUGAUCUAGCAAAAAGAAGGCAAAAGUAAUUCAAAAAGUAAAAGUGGUUUAGUUUGUGUUGUGGGGGUUGUUAGGGGCUAAAUUCACUCCUCCAUUGCGUUUACUAACCUCUGCUUGAAAAGUAUCUGUACACGGAUACCUACAGGUCUCAUUUGGCUUGUGUGUAUUUGGUACAGCAGGUUCUUCUACAGGCUUGUCUGCCCAAAAUCGUGGACAGGGAACUCAGCUCUUCUGGCUGUUAUCCAAACUAUCAAGGUGCGAAGCAGCUCCAGCCCAGCACUGGGACCACUCCGUGCAGUGCUGUGCGGGACAGUAAAUCACUUCCACGCAACUACUUAGUUUUCUGGUCAGAACAGAUGAUUUGUGUUUGACUGCUCAGCUCUUGCACAACACAACUCUGUAAUCGUGCCUUUGGCUUUCUUUAUGUUUUAGAUCAGGGUUUUUGUAUCAUUUUAUGUCUUCAAAAAGAUUUCUGACCCUUCUUGCACAUAGUGUCUUUUCCACAAUUUUGAUACACAGACAUAAGAUAAAGGACAAUAUUUGUUGUCCUUUAGAGUCCUGUGGGCUUAUCCAUAUUUAUUAAAAAAGAAAAUUGCCAGAGCUGCAAGUAUAACACUAGAUAACGAUAUGACCCUAUGCCUUAGCUCUUCAGGAAAUUGGUUUCCAACACAGUCUCAUAUUUUCUGAAAUGACAUCUUAUACAACAUCAAGUAUUUCAGGAGAGAACUGAAGGCUUAAACCUGCCAUGGUGCAAAACAUCUGGUGAAGACUUGAAAUAAAUGCUAGUCAUGUUUGAUCAAAGUAUUUACAGCACACUUGAGAUUCCUUGUUUUGUUUUUCUCCCAAACUUUUAAUUUUCUUACCAUGUCUUUUUUUCUUUUUCAGGUAAUAUGUUUUCCUUUUACUUCUCAAUAGCCAUAUUCUGAGCUCUGGCAAUGACUGCUUUCUUUUACAUUUUGAUAGAGUACUGAGGACAGAUAUGGUUGCAGCCUCCCCAAGACUCCACACAGAAUCAUCCACCAAAGUACAGCUGCCUGUCAUCUUCAACACAGUAACAGAUCAGACAUUCCAGGAAGGACAGGGUGCUUCUAGUUUUAAGCAUGGAAACCAUGCUCUGCUUCUGGAAUCCUAUGCUAGGCAAACAGAGAGCAAGCAUGUUGUGAUGUUUUUAAUAUAACACAGUUGAGAAGCUCUAGCAUGCUGCAGACUAAUAUCUUUGAAGACACCUUGAGGAGAUCGUCAAACAUCAUAGCCUGGAGCUUAAUUGUGCUUUUUAAUUAUGUUAAGACAAUUUGAAUGAGCCAGUGUGAUAGAUUGCAACCACACCUUUGGCACGCCAACACAUACCUCUGAGGGAGCACGCUGCGCAAUACACAGCAGUAGAACAUUUUGCAUACAAUCAUCUUCAGCCCAUGAAAGCAGUAGCCCAUCACCCUUUUGAACCUGCAAAGCAUUUGAAGUAUGGAAGACCAGAGUAAUGCCUAAUGGACUAUAUUUCUAACUUCAUAACUUAGUGGUCAAGGGGAAGGAAGUGAUUCAUAUCCUCAUGGCAUUAAGAACAUGUCAAUCAGGUCCUCCUUGUAUUGUUUCCAGGCUUCACUCAAGGAGGUGACACCUGCUCCUCUGUCCAUGAUCUUGGGUUCUGUGACUGGUGACAAAUUUCCUACACAGAAUGCAAGCCAGUUUUCCUUCAUCGAGCUCUUCACUUUUUCUGUUCCUAUCAGAAGUAGCUUUUGUGGGAGACAGCUUUACUACCUCACACAGUGCUAUGCCAAAUUUCUCAGACAAAAGUGCUGACACUCUGACAUUCUGUCAAGGAUGGCUGUUUUGAGCCUUUAUGCAUAGUUAGGCCUCUCACCAUGGACGGUGACCUCUUAGCUUUGAUUAGAAUUAUAUGAAACGUACUAAUGUGUGUACUAAGCAUAUCAUAUGCUACCUGUGCCAUGGCUUGUUUGAAGAAGCUGUCAGUCAGCCUCAGUUUGAUGGGGCAGCUGGCACCUGCUCUUACUUUAUAGCUAAGAUGCAUGUGUGUCCUGGCCUGUUCAAAGCAAAACAAGAUGGGUAACAACCCAAAUGGUUUAAAUUAUGCUUUUGCUAAUCUGGUCACUUUGAUUAGCAUAAGGUUCAGCAGUGAAGACAGAAGCCUUUCCCAGUUGGAGAAACCUUCCUUAGGAAGCAGGUUAUAGUUGUUCCAUAUGUGCUGUUGAGCCAUAUGCAGCAAAGCAGAUGCCAUUUAACCAGUCAAGACAGGUUUGAACAUGUGAGCGGUGAAGAGGAGCUUAGCAGUUUCUGUCCACAAGGAGCAGUUGCUCUAGGAAGCACAAACUGCAGGGAGAACGGGGAAAUACUGGUAAAGGCCAGAUGAUGAGAUCAGAGGGCUUUUUAGUCAAUUUUCAUAAUGAGCACUUUUCAACACAUGCUUAUAAUGAAUAAGACAUAGGAAUUAGCUAAAUUAUUAACACUUUGAGGAUGAAUUCCAAGGGGUAAUUGGUCUUUAUCCUCCCACAGAGAGCAUCCCAAAUAUCCAGGGGUGAGAGGAAGCAGUGCCUCCAUUGCUUCCUUAUCUCUCAGCUGCAGUCUGGAAAGCAGAGCUGAGUGGGCUAAGUGUCAGAUUCCUCCCUUUCUCUUUCCUCCAGGUGAGAUUAAAGUUAUAGCAGUGUAGGAGGGGAAAGCACAUCAAUCAUCCUUCCAGAUGAAAUUUAGAAAUCCACAUUAAGAUUAAGCUUUUCCCUCGACUGCCUUUGGUUUCCUCUAAAAUUGACAAAGUCAUAUUUCUUUUUUUUUUUUCAGUGGGUAUGUUUUGCAGGCAGCUUGUGAAUCAGUAAUUUUAAAGACAGCUAAAAAAAUUAGGCUUUUGAGAAAUAUCAAAAGAUGAGAGACUAGCAUUGCAUGAAAUGUCUAAUCCUGAUUAUUAGUGAUUAUUAACUUCAAAGUACAUUACUUCUUUAUAAAAACAAUCAAUCUUUUAUGUUUGCUUCAUGCCCCAUAGUAAAAUACUCUUUAAAAAGACUACAUUUUUUUACAUAGAUAGCAUUUCUAUGACUUUACUGUGACUAUAUUUGUCAUUUUGUGAAUUUACUUGUUUCACACUUGGAUUGCAACAGUUAUUACAGAAACUAUGAAGAAGAGGGGAUAUAAAAGUAAUGGAUAGACAUAUCUAAAGGUCUACAAGUUAGUGUCUAUUUUUUUCUGAAGAUUUAUCCAGAGUAAUGAUAUAAUAAUAAUAUAUAUAUUCAAUAUGUAUAAUAUCUGUGCCCAUAUAGCCAGAGGGUGAUUUCAAGCUCCCUCCCCCUUUGAGUUUGCAAGGUGGUAGCUGUCAAAAUCUUCAGCAAGUAACAGCUAUUUCGCCUUGGAACUAAGUGUGAUACACCUCCAAAACACUUCUGUCCCCUUUGUCUGAGAAAAAUGAGGGACCUUGUUUGGAUGGUCAGACGCUGAUAGCCCGCCAUGGCUUCACUGCCUCUUUUACAGAGCUCAAAAGAAUAGAGUUACCUGUGGUAGGUCUCCAGGAAGUCUAAGGAUACAGUAUUUUUCAUCUAUCCCAGCACCCCCAAGAGACUUCUGUAAUGAGUAGCAGUUUCUGAGAAAACACCUAGGUACAAAACAUGUUUCCUGUAUUAUGCUGAACACGAAGAGCACAGAAGCUUUAAUCAACCAGUCAAAAUAAAAGAAAGAACAUUAAAGUCAGGGCCUGAAGGUUAUAUCCCACUUUUUCAUUGAUGUUUCCUACCGAAGCCACCUGCAGUUGUAGAAGAUGUGUGUCUGAGGUAGGGAAGAGGAAGGGAACAAUUUUCAAUCCUGUAAAAAUAUGCUUUCUUAAUGAUAAUAUAAGACUUAUUGGCAAGAAAAGACCCAGUGGGUAAUAUAUAAUAGAUACUGCUAGAGUUACCCAAGACUUUUCAUUGUAAGACCCAUGCUUUUGAUUGAAUAUGAAUAUGCUGAGUUUUAAAAGAGGUACUAUGUACUGCAGGAGAAGCUGAAGCUGCUCUGUAAUAAAACCUGGGGUUUUUCUUUUUCUGUAUUUAGAGCUUCCUUGUGAUGUCCUUUAAUACAUAUUACUGAUAUAUAGACUUGAGUCUUACACUGAUAUUGGUGUGACAGCUUUUGGAGGUGAAAAGUCUCACCAGUUUAGCCUCAGCUGUGAAUUUGGCCUUAUUUCAAAAGGACAUCUGAAAAAUGAAGUUUCAACUUGACCUGUAAGUAGGAAUUAAUCUGCAGUUUUGUAAAGUCAUACCCUAGGAAUGGUAGAGUACUGAGUUCUUUUCAGACAAAGACUACAUGGAUUUAUCAAUGCAUUGCUAUACUCUUUCAAACUCAGCACUGCUAUAACAUCUCAGGCAAAAUCCCCUAGAUGAACCAUUCCUAGAUGUUAAGCAAAAGUUUUGCCUUCCUUCCUUGCAGUCUGUGAAGUUCUUCUUUUGCACAUACAUAUUUUUUGAAGGACUGUGGCUGAGGCUUAUUCAUUACAUCAAGGACCUUGUUCUAAACAGGAGCUAAUACCAGUUUCAGAAGAAGGCAUGAGCAGCCAUGCAGUAUGCAGAUACAGGAUAAUCAGCCUUCAUGGAAGUCUUAAACUGACCUGUAGCUAGGAUUGGGAAUAAGCUUUUGAUGCCAAAUCUUUUAUCUCUUUCAAAUCUGUGAUCAUCCUAGCACUGAACGGUAUUUUGUGUUUUUUUUUAACAGUUCCUAUGGGUUAUAAAAUAAAUAUGGAGGAUUAAAGGUUCGAAGGAAUUUCUAGCCUGCAAAAUCUUUAAGAGCAUUUGCCACCUAGCAACAGCCAGGAACGUGCAUUUCCUUCAAACAAUCUGCAAUUGUGUGAUUCAGAAAAAACCUCCACAGUGUUUAUAACUGCAGUCGUAACUUACGUAGGAAGGAAAAAUGCAGCAAAAGGCUCUGGUUACAUCACUGACAAAGGAUUUCAUUACCAUAAGGAGUCCCUAACAGGGUGACAAAUAAUCAAGAUUAAAAAGAAUGUGUGAGACCAGCAGAAAGGGAAACAAUGACGUUCCCAUUAUAGCUGUGGCCUUUGCAAUAAAUGAUAUGUCAGCUUUUUCAUUUUGAAUUGUGCUGAAUAACUUGGUGAUUUUAAUUCAUCAGCAAAUGAAUACUUAGAUUAGAAGCUAUUUUCUUUUCAAAUGUGCGUUUGUUAACUUAGUCAUGCAAUAAAUACCACUCUCCUUGAAAAGUGUGAUAAUAUAGAUACUGUUUACAGAAGAUAAUGAUUUAAACCACAGAUACUCUGUUAGUUUGCUCAGAUAUGUGAGGAAAGUAUGGGAAUUAUAUGAGAGGAAGUGUAAUUGCAACAUGCAUGAGCUGGCUGGCUAUCAAAAUUCUAUUGGUCUGGAUUUUGUGAUGUUAAUGAGAU